rnacentral:rRNA from 2 species
CACGUGGUAUCCUGUCUGAAUAUGGGGGGACCAUCCUCCAAGGCUAAAUACUCCUGACUGACCGAUAGUGAACCAGUACCGUGAGGGAAAGGCGAAAAGAACCCCGGCGAGGGGAGUGAAAAAGAACCUGAAACCGUGUACGUACAAGCAGUGGGAGCACCUUCGGGUGUGACUGCGUACCUUUUGUAUAAUGGGUCAGCGACUUAUAUUCUGUAGCAAGGUUAACCGUAUAGGGGAGCCGCAGGGAAACCGAGUCUUAACUGGGCGUUAAGUUGCAGGGUAUAGACCCGAAACCCGGUGAUCUAGCCAUGGGCAGGUUGAAGGUUGGGUAACACUAACUGGAGGACCGAACCGACUAAUGUUGAAAAAUUAGCGGAUGACUUGUGGCUGGGGGUGAAAGGCCAAUCAAACCGGGAGAUAGCUGGUUCUCCCCGAAAGCUAUUUAGGUAGCGCCUCGUGAACUCAUCUUCGGGGGUAGAGCACUGUUUCGGCUAGGGGGUCAUCCCGACUUACCAACCCGAUGCAAACUACGAAUACCGAAGAAUGUUAUCACGGGAGACACACGGCGGGUGCUAACGUCCGUCGUGAAGAGGGAAACAACCCAGACCGCCAGCUAAGGUCCCAAAGUCAUGGUUAAGUGGGAAACGAUGUGGGAAGGCACAGACAGCCAGGAUGUUGGCUUAGAAGCAGCCAUCAUUUAAAGAAAGCGUAAUAGCUCACUGGUCGAGUCGGCCUGCGCGGAAGAUGUAACGGGGCUAAACCAUGCACCGAAGCUGCGGCAGCGACACUAUGUGUUGUUGGGUAGGGGAGCG